AACGAACGCUGGCGGCAUGCCUAACACAUGCAAGUCGAACGAGACCUUCGGGUCUAGUGGCGCACGGGUGCGUAACGCGUGGGAACCUGCCCUUAGGUUCGGAAUAACUCCCCGAAAGGGGUGCUAAUACCGGAUAAUGUCUUCGGACCAAAGAUUUAUCGCCUUUGGAUGGGCCCGCGUUGGAUUAGCUAGUUGGUAGGGUAAACGCCUACCAAGGCGACGAUCCAUAGCUGGUCUGAGAGGAUGAUCAGCCACACUGGGACUGAGACACGGCCCAGACUCCUACGGAAGGCAGCAGUGGGGAAUAUUGGACAAUGGGCGAAAGCCUGAUCCAGCAAUGCCGCGUGAGUGAUGAAGGCCUUAGGGUUGUAAAGCUCUUUAACCCGGGAUGAUAAUGACAGUACCGGGAGAAUAAGCUCCGGCUAACUCCGUG
rnacentral:rRNA from 1 species